UCAGGAUGAACGCUGGCGGCGUGCUUAACACAUGCAAGUCGAACGAAGCUCCUAAACCUGAGAUUCGUCAAGGGCGAGGGAUGACUUAGUGGCGGACGGGUGAGUAAUGCGUGAGCAACCUGCCCUUCAGAGGGGGACAACAGCUGGAAACGGCUGCUAAUACCGCAUAAAGUACAGAUGAGGCAUCUCGACUGUACCAAAGAUUUAUCGCUGAAGGAUGGGCUCACGUCUGAUUAGCUAGUUGGUGAGGUAAUGGCUCACCAAGGCUGCGAUCAGUAGCCGGACUGAGAGGUUGGCCGGCCACAUUGGGACUGAGAUACGGCCCAGACUCCUACGGGAGGCAGCAGUGGGGAAUAUUGGGCAAUGGGCGCAAGCCUGACCCAGCAACGCCGCGUGAAGGAAGGAGGCUUUCGGGUUGUAAACUUCUUUUGGCAGGGACGAAGAAAGUGACGGUACCUGCAGAAUAAGCUCCGGCUAACUACGUGCCAGCCGCUGC
rnacentral:rRNA from 1 species